rnacentral:lncRNA from 1 species
GGUGCUCGCUUUCGCAACAACUGCCCACUUGGAGACAGGCUGCUGCUCGCUUGGUUCAUACCUGUGCUUGGGAGGCAAUAUUAUCUAGCAAGAAUCUUGAUUCGAUUUUAACUGUGAUUUUCAAUCCCUUUUCACCCUAAACACUAUCCAUUAUAAAUACACAAGCCAUGGAAUGUUCCAAAGUGUGGUUGAACAUUAUAUUCAUUAUAGAGAUCAUUAUUUGAAGGUCAUAAACUCAUUUCAAAAGGUCUCUUGAUUCAAUCACAAAUAUAUUUAAUAUUUUCCCAUUUAUUGUUUUCCAUCGGUUAAGCUUUUAUU